CUAGGGAUUAGAAACAAAGUAUAAUUGUGGUUCCCACUCGUACGGGUCACCUUUUCCAGUUUUUAAAGAUCGGACAUGGAACCAGGUCUAAGCUUGGGAGAGGGUUGAGUGACCGAAUUUGGUUUCUUGAGAGAACAUGAAGACCUGAAAGCUUCCACCUGCAUUUCUGGUACUCGCCCUUAUU